rnacentral:rRNA from 1 species
UACGGAGGGUGCAAGCGUUAUCCGGAUUCACUGGGUUUAAAGGGUGCGUAGGCGGGCAGGUAAGUCCGUGGUGAAAUCUCCGAGCUUAACUCGGAAACUGCCAUGGAUACUAUUUGUCUUGAAUGUCGUGGAGGUUAGCGGAAUAUGUCAUGUAGCGGUGAAAUGCUUAGAUAUGACAUAGAACACCUAUUGCGAAGGCAGCUAACUACGCGAAUAUUGACGCUGAGGCACGAAAGCGUGGGGAUCAAACAGG